rnacentral:tRNA from 1 species
GGAUAUAGCUUAGUGGUAGAGCAAAUGCUUAGCAUGCCCAAGGUUCUGGGUUUAACUCCCAGUAUCUCCA